rnacentral:rRNA from 1 species
AGCGAACGCUGGCGGCAGGCCUAACACAUGCAAGUCGAACGAACUCUUCGGAGUUAGUUGCGGACGGGUGAGUACCACGUGGGAACGUGCCUUUAGGUUCGGUAUAACUCAGGGAAACUUGUCCUAAUACCGCAUGUGCCCUUCGGGGGAAGGAUUUAUCGCCUUUAGAGCGGCCCGCGUCUGUUUAGCUAGUUGGUGAGGUAAAGGCUCACCAAGGCGACGAUCAGUAGCUGGUCUGAGAGGAUGAUUAGCCACAUUGGGACUGAGACACGGCCCAAACUCCUACGGGAGGCAGCAGUGGGGAAUCUUGCGCAAUGGGCGAAAGCCUGACGCAGCCAUGCCGCGUGAAUGAUGAAGGUCUUAGGAUUGUAAAAUUCUUUCACCGGGGACGAUAAUGACGGUACCCGGAGAAGAAGCCCCGGCUAACUUCGUG